rnacentral:rRNA from 1 species
CCUGGUGAUUAUGGCGGAGAGGUCACACCCGUUCCCAUACCGAACACGGCAGUUAAGCUCUCCAGCGCCGAUGGUACUGCAUUUCAGAUGUGGGAGAGUAGGACGUCGCCAGGA